rnacentral:rRNA from 1 species
GCCUGUUUAUCAAAAACAUGUCCUUUUGUUUUUAUUUAAGGUCUGACCUGCCCAAUGAUUAUAUUUAAUGGCCGCGGUAUUUAACUGUGCUAAGGUAGCAUAAUCAUUUGUCUUUUAAUUGAAGGCUGGUAUGAAUGGUUGGACGAGGCAUAAUCUUUCUUUAAUUUAAUUUAUGAAUUUAAUUUUUUAGUUAAAAAGCUAAAAUUUAUUUGUUGGACGAGAAGACCCUAUAGAUCUUAAUAUUUAUAUGAUUUGAUAAUUUGGUUAAUUUAUUAUUUGGAUUAAAAUAAGUAUUUGGUUGGGGUGACUGUGGAAUUUUAAUAACUUCUGCUUUUUGUUUUCAUUAAUUUAUGUUUUAUUGAUCCAUUAUUAGUGAUUAUAAGAUUAAGUUACCUUAGGGAUAACAGGCGUAAUUCUCUUUGGAGAGUUCAUAUCGAUGAGGGAGUUUGCGACCUCGAUGUUGGACC